CGAACUCCUGACCUCAGGUAAUCCACCCGCCUUGGCCUCCCAAAGUGCUGGGAUUACAGGCGUGAGUCGCCGAGCCCGGCCAGUCGAACUCUUUCUUCUGAGGAGGUAAGGAUUGAGAUUGCUGCAGAACAUAGGGAUUCGUGGUCAGUAAUAUACCAUGUGUCUGAGGUAGGUUCUCAGCUUGGGCAGAGAAGAGGGGUGUCAUUUGGGGACUCCAUCCGCAGCUGGGAUGGCACGAGGCUUACCAGGGGGUGUAACGGCCACUCUGCAACCCUCCCUAUCUCUGUCCCCAUGCCCAUGACCCUGCACCAUCCAUGUUCUGAAGGCAGGGCCAGCUCAGCGCCCACCAGCACCGAGCUGCUACUGAGCCGCCCUCUCUCCUAGAAGGAAAAUGGAUUCAGCUAGUGGCUCCCCACCAGACUGGCACCCUCGCGACUCAUCCCCGCCAUUGGUAAAGGAAUGACCGGGCCUCAGGGGCAUGGUGCUGCCACCUGGACGUCAGACAGAAUCGGAGUUGGAGGCUGGUUGGGAGAAAGCAGAACCCUCUCCAGCUUGCCCUGGAGUGUGAGGUGCCCGCGGUGCACCGAUAGGUCAACACCCCAUGCAGGCACGAAGGAGAUGGCAGCCACCAGGCUCGGUUGAAAUAUUCAUUUCAAGGGAAUUCCUUGUCCAUUCAAAUGACUGAACAACAGCUUGAUUUCAUGGAAUAAUGGCUUUUAUUAAGAAGCCAACAGGAAUGAUCACAGUGGGGAGUCUUGUGUCUUGGCAGUGGGUGUUUGUAGAGCACCCAGUGUUCACCAGCAACUCUGUGCAAGUCUCGGAGGGUGGUUGGUGUGUUGGAGGAUGUGGGUAUACAGUAGCAUGGGCAUGCAUGUGCAUACGUGUUCAUACAUGCACCUGCAGCGGGAACUUGGUGAAUACUUGUUGGUUGGUGUGUUUUUUUGUUUUUUUUUUUUUUUGAGAUGGAGUUUUGCUCUUGUUGCCCAGGCUGGAGUGCAAUGGCGCCAUCUUGGCUCACUGCAACCUGUCUUCCCAGUUCAAGCAAUUCUCCUGCUUCGGCCUCCCAAGUAGCUGGGAUUACAGGUGUGUGCCACUACACCUGGAUAAAUUUUUUUUUUCUUUUUUUUUUGUGGAGACAGGCUUUCACCAUGUUGGAUCAGGCUGGUCUCAAACUCCUGACCUCAAGUGAUGCGCCUGCCUCGGCCUCCCCAACUGUUGGGAUUACAGGCAUGAGCCACUGUGCCUGGCUACUCGGUGGGUUUUGAUUGGAAGGCUAUGGAGCUCCAGUGGUAGAUGUGGUUAUAAGGGUAACUGGGGGGGGGGGUCUCAGAGUGGGGGCCAGUUGCAUCAGGCCCCUGGAGGGUGGGACACUGCCUUUCCAAGAGCAACAAAGUGUGGGCGAUUUGUGGUGCUGAGAAUCGUGAGCAGGCAGUUCGUCUAGAGCAGGGUUGCAAACUUUUUCUGUAAAAGGCCAGAUAGUAAAUAUGUUAGGCUUUGUGGGCCUUGUAGUCUCUGUUGCAACUACUCAGCUCUGCCCUGAUGAGGCAAAAGCAGCCACAGGCAAUGUACAAAAUGUCCGUGGCUGUGUUCCAAGAAAACUUUAUUGGCAAAAACAGGCAGUGGGCCAGAUCUAAGCCAUGGGCCGUAGUUUGCCAACCCCUGGUCUAGACCACUCCCAUUUAUAAAGUGAUUCGGCUUUAGCAGCUUCCUGGAAGGUGGUGCUGCUGGCUGAUAAAGCAGAGGGACGGAGCUUGCAGAAUUCAGGUGAUAGGGCUUGGAUCUCAGUCCCCAGCGCAUCUCAUGUUGAAUUGGAACCCUCAAGGUUGGAGGUGGGGACUGGUGGGAGGUGAUUGGAUCAUGAGAGCAGAUACCUCAUGGGUUGGUGCUGUCCUCUAGACAGUGAGUGAGUUCUUACCAGAUCUGGUUUAAAAGCAUGUGGCACCUCUGCCCCACACUCUCUCUUGCUCCUGUUUUUGCCAUGUGAUGCGCCUCCUUCCUUUUUGCCGUCUGCCAUGAUUGGAAGCCUCCUGAGGCUUCCCCAGAAGUUGAACAGGUGCUAGUGGCAUGCUUGUAUAGCUUGCAGAACCAUAAGCCAGUUAAACCUCUUUUCUUAUAAAUGACCGCAUCUCAGGUAUUUCUUCAUAGCAAUGCAAGAACGGCCAAACACAAAGUUUGCUGAGCAGAGACACACGGCCAGAAAGUUAAGUGGGGGUCUCAAGCCCGACUGUGGGACAGUCAGUCCAUCUUCAGAGCUGUCCUCCCUACGCCCCUGUCCUCCCCCUGGGCCGGGAUGCAGCGCUGCCCCUGGCCCCUCUGGAGCUCAGCAGGGAGCCCCAUGCCCUUCCAGGUGUGGAGAGCAGCCUGCGCGUCACUCGCUGCCGCCCCAUCCUACGGGGCACUGGAGCACAACUGUGUCGUCCUCCGCUACCUCAUGGGCUUCCUGCACACGCAAGAGCUGGGGAGACCGCAGCGUGGGACUUGCGGGUAAUCUCCCGCAGAGGCCUGUCACUCCUCCCCCACUGCCAGGUCUAGGUGGGCGCAGGACUCAGGCUUAAGCCAGUCGGAGCCUUCCCUGGCUGCAGCAAUGGGUCCAAGGGCCCUCCCACUGUGACCCUGGCCUCGGCCACCAGGCUUGCUUUGGCCAAUGGGAUGUGAGCAUGCAGGACACCAGUCAAAGCAUGAAAACUGCUUGCAGUAGCGCUUGUGUGUGCGCCUGGACCUGUGUUGUAAGAAUGUGCCCCUUUUAGCCGUUGGAGGAUUUGGGACACCUGCAGGAGAACAGAGUCACCCUGGCUGACAGCCAGCUCAGCCAGGACAUGUAAGCCAUCCCCUCAAAAGACCAAUAGAACCACCCAGCUGACCCACUGACUCAUGGGCAGUAAUGACCAGCAGUUGCUUUCAGUGACUGGGCUUGGGCAUCCCCCUGGCCCCACUGCCCCCCUGCCUGGCUAAUUUUCAUAUUUUGAGUAGACAAGUAAACACAAGGUUUCACCAUGUUGG